rnacentral:misc_RNA from 1 species
CAACCCUCAAGCUCUGCUUGGUAUUAGGCUCCACCUGCUAGGCGGGCCAUAAAAUCAGUGGCGGUGCUCUUUGGCUUCGAGCGUAGUAAUACUUCUCGCUCCGAGUGACCGAUCGAGCCCCUGCCGGUAAACCCCACACUUUAAAGG